UACAUAGGGGCCAAGCGUUAUCCGGAUUUAUUGGGCGUAAAGCGCGCGUAGGUGGUUAGUUAAGUCAGGUGUCAAAUUCGGGAGCUCAACUCCCGCACGCGCCUGAAACUGACUGGCUUUGAGGUUGAGAGAGGAAAGCGGAACUCACAGUGUAGCGGUGAAAUGCGUAGAUAUUGUGAGGAACACCAGUGGCGAAGGCGGCUUUCUGGCUCAAUUCUGACGCUAAAGCGCGAGAGCAUGGGGAG
rnacentral:rRNA from 1 species